UCUGGAUAUAUGAGUAAAAAAUACAAACACUUUCAAUAUGUGAAAAUAUAAACAAUAAAAGUUAAAUUAAGACUUGAGACAGUAAUAAUGACUAUGUUGUGGGACCGGGUACUGCAUAGAUUUAAGGCAACAAGCGACCAACUCCAAAGAAGCGAUAUAGAUUUAGCUACUGCUCUUGGCUUUCUGCGCUCUUGUAACAUAGUUAGAAUGGAUGGCUAAAACCCUUCUAAACUGGCUGAACUACGCCAUCUACUGCCACAAAGUGGUACACAAACGGACCGUAAAAAGGACGGAUUGUGGGUAAUCCUCAGUGUAAUGGAGGAUUAAAAGAAGGUCCACAAUUUCCUUUGUGUCCUUUAUAUUUUACAGGUAUGUUAUGUUAAGUUGAUUAACCUGUAUGUAUUUUUGGUUAUAUGUUUCAUUGUAUUGCUUGUGUAGUCAAGUUCUGUUCUUAUAAAACUAUACGAUCACUGUCUAAGUAUUUUGUGUGAGUAUAAUGGAGGAUUAAAAGAAGGUCCACAAUUUC